rnacentral:rRNA from 1 species
CACGUAGGGCGCAAGCGUUGUCCGGAAUUAUUGGGCGUAAAGCGCUCGUAGGCGGCUUGUCACGUCGGGUGUGAAAGCCCGGGGCUUAACCCCGGGUCUGCAUUCGAUACGGGCUAGCUAGAGUGUGGUAGGGGAGAUCGGAAUUCCUGGUGUAGCGGUGAAAUGCGCAGAUAUCAGGAGGAACACCGGUGGCGAAGGCGGAUCUCUGGGCCAUUACUGACGCUGAGGAGCGAAAGCGUGGGGAGCGAACAGG